rnacentral:rRNA from 1 species
AUUGAACGCUGGCGACAGGCCUAACACAUGCAAGUCGAACGCGUGGCGGACGGGUGAGUAAUGUCGGGGACACUGCCUGGUGGAGGGGGAUCACUACUGGAAACGGUCGCUAAUACCACAUACCAUCGGAUGUGCCCAGAUGGGAUUAGCUAGUAGGUGGGGUAAAGGCGAACCUAGGCGACGCUCCCUAGCUGGUCUGAGAGGAUGACCAGCCACACUGGAACUGAGACACGGUCCAGACUCCUACGGGAGGCAGCAGUGGGGAAUAUUGCACAAUGGGCGCAAGCCUGAUGCAGCCAUGCCGCGUGUGUGAAGAAGGCCUUCGGGUUGUAAAGUACUUUCAGCGGGGAGGCGUUACCCGCAGAAGAAGCACCGGCUAACUCCGUGCCAGCAGCCGCGGUAAUUC